rnacentral:pre_miRNA from 7 species
UCUUCGGAGAUGUGGGUGGUCGCGCCAAUCCCGGGACGAGCCCCCAAUGAAAGACCUUGGAAGGGAGACCCUCACUCAAGUCUCGGGAUAAUAACGGACCCCCAAGAACUCACAAGAGACC